AUUGCUGACCCCAAUACUCCGCUUAAUUGAGAUUGAAUGAUUAUUAAAUCACGUUUUCAUUGAGGAUUCGCAAAGUUUGAUAUUGAAUCUUUAUUGUCAAGUCUGAUGUGGUCGGAGCCCCAUGAGACACCAAGGUUUCGGUCUUAAAGAAACACACCAGGAUAGACGUUUUGCCACAAUUUCUAUUUUAUCAUAUGUCGUGCAUAAAUUGUAC